AGCUUUGCGCAGUGGCAGUAUCGUAGCCAAUGAGGUUUAUCCGAGGCGCGAUUAUUGCUAAUUAAAAUAAAAUAAGAUGAUACCUUAACAGAUCAGACUGAUUUGUGAGAAAACCUUUGGGGAAAUGGAAGCUAAU
ensembl:snRNA U4 U4 spliceosomal RNA